rnacentral:rRNA from 1 species
AGUGAACGCUGGCGGUAGGCCUAACACAUGCAAGUCGAACGGCAGCACAGUAAGAGCUUGCUCUUACGGGUGGCGAGUGGCGGACGGGUGAGGAAUACAUCGGAAUCUACUUUUUCGUGGGGGAUAACGUAGGGAAACUUACGCUAAUACCGCAUACGACCUACGGGUGAAAGCAGGGGAUCUUCGGACCUUGCGCGAUUGAAUGAGCCGAUGUCGGAUUAGCUAGUUGGCGGGGUAAAGGCCCACCAAGGCGACGAUCCGUAGCUGGUCUGAGAGGAUGAUCAGCCACACUGGAACUGAGACACGGUCCAGACUCCUACGGGAGGCAGCAGUGGGGAAUAUUGGACAAUGGGCGCAAGCCUGCUCCAGCCAUACCGCGUGGGUGAAGAAGGCCUUCGGGUUGUAAAGCCCUUUUGUUGGGAAAGACAAGCAGCAGGUUAAUACCCCGCUGUUCUGACGGUACCCAAAGAAUAAGCACCGGCUAACUUCGUG